AACCUGUUAAAUAAUCGAUAAUCCACGCUAAAUUUCACUUUUAUUUAUAUUUUAUAUACCUCCAUCUAAAGAAUUUAUCAUCAUAAUAUUAUUCAAAAAAGACAACUAAUAAGUUAGGUAAAGGUGUAGACUACAUAAAAGAUAUAAUGGGUUACUAUAAAAAUUAUUUAAGGAAAAAUAAUGAAAAUUAUUUUAUAAAAAGGAUUUAUAAGUAAUAUCUAAAUAAUAUUAAGAUUUGAAAAUGAAAAUAAAUGUGU
rnacentral:rRNA from 1 species